rnacentral:rRNA from 1 species
UAGGGAAUCUUCCACAAUGGACGCAAGUCUGAUGGAGCAACGCCGCGUGAGUGAAGAAGGUUUUCGGACCGUAAAGCUCUGUUGUUGGUGAAGAAGGAUAGAGGUAGUAACUGGCCUUUAUUUGACGGUAAUCAACCAGAAAGUCACGGCUAACUACGUGCCAGCAGCCGCGGUAAUACGUAGGUGGCAAGCGUUGUCCGGAUUUAUUGGGCGUAAAGCGAGCGCAGGCGGAAGAAUAAGUCUGAUGUGAAAGCCCUCGGCUUAACCGAGGAAUUGCAUCGGAAACUGUUUUUCUUGAGUGCAGAAGAGGAGAGUAGAACUCCAUGUGUAGCGGUGGAAUGCGUAGAUAUAUGGAAGAAUACCAGUGGCGAAGGCGGCUCUCUGGUCUGCAACUGACGCUGAGGCUCGAAAGCAUGGGUAGCGAACAGGAUUAGAUACCCUGGUAGUCCAUGCCGUAAACGAUGAGUGCUAAGUGUUGGGAGGCUUCCGCCUCUCAGUGCUGCAGCUAACGCAUUAAGCACUCCGCCUGGGGGAGUACGACCGCAAGGUUG